UUUCCGUUGUGCGUCCGUCCCGUGCCGUCUUCGCGAUAACCGCGUCCGCGACCGUUUCUCGUUGUUGGUUAUCAUUUUUUUUUUUUCCCGGGAAAAAUCCGAUUUGUAACAUAACACCGUGUUGUACGUGUUGUACACGUGUGACGAGUGAAAACGAUAAAGAAAAAUAUAAAAUAUACGAAAAUUGUUAAUGCUCUGCGAAAUCACACACGAGCGUGUCUCGCGAGGUUGUGUCGAUCACGCAUGUAAUAGAGAUUGUGAUUCAUAAUAUAUAUAUAUUUGAUUUUUUCCGAUCGGUCGUUAAUAUUUUAGCGACGUCGUACCAACCUGUGCAAAAUAUUAUCGGAUCCACGUGUGUUUUUGGUGCGUGUGCGAUCUCCGUCAUCRCCAUCGGUGUGGUUCGUUUUGGUAGCAGUGUAUAAUAUAAUAAUAUUAUCAUAAUUUUAUAUACUUAAAAUAUUACUACCUAUUAUAAUAUAAUAUCGUAGUGUCGGUGUCGUGGUCGUACGGGGGCGUGUGCGUGUGCGCCAGCGAUAUGUCGUCUGACGAAAUCCGAGUUCGACAACGACGCUGACGACGAUAUUUUGCAAUACCGACCGGUCACCGAUCGAGGUUUCCAUCGGACCACCAGCGUUUUGUCACACCGUUCGUGUCAAAAUAAUCAGUGAUAACUUUAGAGGAUCGUCGCCAUCGAUUUCUGUUAAUACCGCGUGUUUUCUUUUCUUUUUUGGUUUUUUUUUUUUUUUUUUUUGACGAUUGUGCGAGAAUAUUAUAGUUUAAGUCCGUGAGAAUUUCGACGAUCACAUCUAUUGUUGCAGCCGCAGCCGUCGACGACGAAAAUCAUCUAAUUCUCCACUGUCUAACGGACUGUCAACAGAACCGGAGAGUGAGGAAAAAAAAUAAACGCGCCCCUUCUAAAUCGUCUCCAAUUUAUUGUUUGUUUUAUGCAUUUUCUCUCUGCACYGGGCGAUCGAUUUGCGCCGYUAUGUUGACAUUAAAGRCACUGGAAGUAGACUUAAUAUCCUAGGGUGGUUAGAUAUAAAUAAUAAUAAUAAUAAUAAUACUAAAGGGUAAAGAGUAGUCAGGAGAGAAGAGUAGAUAAAAUAAAGAAAGGAAUAAGAUUGUUUAAAAAAAUUGUAAAUAAGGGGCGCGUUUACUGCACUUUAGGAGGAUGUACUCGACAAAAGCAACAGCCAUGACGUUCCUGGUGGCCAUAUUUGCAGUAAGCCCACUUCAGUCUUCCGAAG